rnacentral:tRNA from 1 species
GGGCCCGUAGCUCAGUGGUAGAGCGAGAGCCUUUUAAGCUCUGCGUCGUGGGUUCGAUCCCCACCGGGCCCUCCA